rnacentral:rRNA from 1 species
ACUCCUGCGGGAGGCAGCAGUGGGGAAUUUUGGACAAUGGGCGAAAGCCUGAUCCAGCAAUGCCGCGUGCAGGAUGAAGGCCUUCGGGUUGUAAACUGCUUUUGUACGGAACGAAAAAGCUCCUUCUAAUACAGGGGGCCCAUGACGGUACCGUAAGAAUAAGCACCGGCUAACUACGUGCCAGCAGCCGCGGUAAUACGUAGGGUGCGAGCGUUAAUCGGAAUUACUGGGCGUAAAGCGUGCGCAGGCGGUUAUGUAAGACAGAUGUGAAAUCCCCGGGCUCAACCUGGGAACUGCAUUUGUGACUGCAUGGCUAGAGUACGGUAGAGGGGGAUGGAAUUCCGCGUGUAGCAGUGAAAUGCGUAGAUAUGCGGAGGAACACCGAUGGCGAAGGCAAUCCCCUGGACCUGUACUGACGCUCAUGAACGAAAGCGUGGGGAGCAAACAGGAUUAGAAACCCUAGUAGUCC